rnacentral:rRNA from 1 species
GACGUAGGAUGCGAGCGUUAUUCGGAUUUAUUGGGCGUAAAGCGUGCGUAAGCGGCUGUUUAAGUCUGGUGUUAAAGCUAGGGGCUCAACCCCUGUGGUGCAUCGGAUACUGGGCAGCUUGAGUGCGGUAGGGGAAGGUGGAAUUCCGAGUGUAGCGGUGAAAUGCGUAGAUAUUCGGAAGAACACCGGUGGCGAAGGCGACCUUCUGGGCCGCAACUGACGCUGAGGCACGAAAGCCUGGGGAGCGAACGGG